UACGUAGGGUGCGAGCGUUAAUCGGAAUUACUGGGCGUAAAGCGUGCGCAGGCGGCGCGUUAAGACAGGUGUGAAAGCCCCGAGCUUAACUUGGGAAUUGCGCUUGUGACUGGCGUGCUGGAAUGUGGCAGAGGGAGGUGGAAUUCCACGUGUAGCAGUGAAAUGCGUAGAGAUGUGGAGGAACACCGAUGGCGAAGGCAGCCUCCUGGGCCAGCACUGACGCUCAUGCACGAAAGCGUGGGGAGCAAACAGG
rnacentral:rRNA from 1 species